GACGAACGCUGGCGGCGUGCUUAACACAUGCAAGUCGAACGGAAAGGCCCUGCUUUUGUGGGGUGCUCGAGUGGCGAACGGGUGAGUAACACGUGAGUAUCCUGCCCUUGACUUUGGGAUAACUUCAGGAAACUGGGGCUAAUACCGGAUAGGAGCUCCUGCUGCAUAGUGGGGGUUGGAAAGUUUCGGCGGUUGGGGAUGGACUCGCGGCUUAUCAGCUUGUUGGUGGGGUAGUGGCUUACCAAGGCUUUGACGGGUAGCCGGCCUGAGAGGGUGACCGGCCACAUUGGGACUGAGAUACGGCCCAGACUCCUACGGGAGGCAGCAGUGGGGAAUAUUGCACAAUGGGCGGAAGCCUGAUGCAGCAACGCCGCGUGCGGGAUGACGGCCUUCGGGUUGUAAACCGCUUUCGCCUGUGACGAAGCGUGAGUGACGGUAAUGGGUAAAGAAGCACCGGCUAACUACGUG
rnacentral:rRNA from 1 species